rnacentral:rRNA from 1 species
CAGUCGCCGCGGGAAAACGGAGGGAGCAAGCGUUAUCCGGAAUCAUUGGGUUUAAAGGGUCCGUAGGCGGUCUUGUAAGUCAGUGGUGAAAGCCCAUCGCUCAACGGUGGAACGGCCAUUGAUACUGCAGGACUUGAAUUAUUGGGAAGUAACUAGAAUAUGUAGUGUAGCGGUGAAAUGCUUAGAGAUUACAUGGAAUACCAAUUGCGAAGGCAGGUUACUACCAAUUGAUUGACGCUGAUGGACGAAAGCGUGGGUAGCGAACAGGAUUAGAUACCCCCGUAGUCCCUGUCUCUUAUAC